rnacentral:rRNA from 1 species
UGCGUAGGUGGCAAGGGAAGUUUGAUGUGAAAUCCCCGGGCUCAACCCGGGAACUGCAUUGAAAACUCUCUAGCUCGAGGGUCGGAGGGGAGACUGGAAUUCUCGGUGUAGCAGUGAAAUGCGUAGAUAUCGAGAGGAACACCAGUGGCGAAGGCGAGUCUCUGGACGACACCUGACACUGAGGCACGAAAGCUAGGGGAGCAAACAGGAUUAGAUACCCUGGUAGUCC